GUAGGGAAUAUUGCGCAAUGGGGGAAACCCUGACGCAGCGACGCCGCGUGAGUGAUGAAGGCCUUCGGGUCGUAAAGCUCUGUUGCAGGGGAAUAAAAAAAUGAAGGUACCCUGUGAGGAAGGAUCGGCUAACUUCGUGCCAGCAGCCGCGGUAAGACGAGGGAUCCUAGCGUUGCUCGGAAUCAUUGGGCGUAAAGCGGAUGUAGGUGGCUAUGUAAGUCAGAUGUGAAAGCCUGGGGCUCAACCCCAGAAGUGCAUUUGAUACUGCGUAGCUUGAGUGUCGGAGAGGUUACUAGAAUUGUUGGUGUAGUGGUGAAAUACGUAGAUAUCAACAGGAAUACCGGAGGCGAAGGCGGGUAACUGGCCGAACACUGACACUGAGAUCCGAAAGCGUGGGGAUCAAACAGGAUUAGAAACCCGAGUAGUCC
rnacentral:rRNA from 1 species